UGUACUAAGGUGUAAAUUUGUGCAUAAAAGUUUUUGGUGCUUUAGGAGCUUGAAAGUGCAAGCUAGUACAA
rnacentral:tRNA from 1 species